GACGAACGCUGGCGGCGUGCCUAAUACAUGCAAGUAGAACGCACAGUUUAUACCGUAGCUUGCUACACCAUAGACUGUGAGUUGCGAACGGGUGAGUAACGCGUAGGUAACCUGCCUGGUAGCGGGGGAUAACUAUUGGAAACGAUAGCUAAUACCGCAUAAUAUUGAUUAUUGCAUGAUAAUUGAUUGAAAGAUGCUAUUGCAUCACUACCAGAUGGACCUGCGUUGUAUUAGCUAGUAGGAGAGGUAACGGCUCACCUAGGCGACGAUACAUAGCCGACCUGAGAGGGUGAUCGGCCACACUGGGACUGAGACACGGCCCAGACUCCUACGGGAGGCAGCAGUAGGGAAUCUUCGGCAAUGGACGAAAGUCUGACCGAGCAACGCCGCGUGAGUGAAGAAGGUUUUCGGAUCGUAAAGCUCUGUUGUAAGAGAAGAACGGGUGUGAGAGUGGAAAGUUCACACUGUGACGGUAUCUUACCAGAAAGGGACGGCUAACUACGUG
rnacentral:rRNA from 1 species